UACGUAGGGUGCGAGCGUUGUCCGGAAUUAUUGGGCGUAAAGGGCUCGUAGGCGGUCUGUCGCGUCGGUAGUGAAAACUCAGGGCUUAACCCUGAGCCUGCUUCCGAUACGGGCAGACUAGAGGUAUGCAGGGGAGAAUGGAAUUCCCGGUGUAGCGGUGAAAUGCGCAGAUAUCGGGAAGAACACCCGUGGCGAAGGCGGUUCUCUGGGACGGUACUGACGCUGAGACGCGAAAGCGUGGGGAGCGAACAGG
rnacentral:rRNA from 1 species